rnacentral:rRNA from 1 species
UACGGAAGGCAGCAGUGGGGAAUAUUGCACAAUGGGCGAAAGCCUGAUGCAGCUAUGCCGCGUGUAUGAAGAAGGCCUUAGGGUUGUAAAGUACUUUCAUCGGGGAGGAAAAACAAAACUAAUAAUUUUAUUUCUUGACGUUACCCGAAAAAGAAGCACCGGCUAACUCCGUGCCAGCAGCCGCGGUAAUACGGAGGGUGCUAGCGUUAAUCAGAAUUACUGGGCGUAAAGAGCACGUAGGUGGUUUUUUUAAGUCAGAUGUGAAAUCCCUGGGCUUAACCUAGGAACUGCAUUUUGAAACUGAAAUGCUAGAGUAUCGUAGAGGGAGGUAGAAUUCUAGGUGUAGCGGUGAAAUGCGUAGAUAUCUGGAGGAAUACCUGUGGCGAAAGCGGCCUCCUAAACGAAUACUGACACUGAGGUGCGAAAGCGUGGGGAGCAAACAGGGAUUAGAUACCCGU